rnacentral:rRNA from 1 species
ACCGAGAGUGGAGCCUGGCUCCGGGGGGCCAACCGCCCCCACCUCUUCACCCAUGUAGAUAUUUCUGCGUUGCUUUGGCGCGCCUCCGGGACCUCCGGGGGCCCCUGUCAAAGACCCAAUCAAUUGCCGUGUAUAAGUGUAAUCGGAGUAGAACCACAAUCGUUAAAACUUUCAACAACGGAUCUCUUGGCUCUGGCAUCGAUGAAGAACGCAGCGAAAUGCGAUAAGUAAUGUGAAUUGCAGAAUUCAGUGAAUCAUCGAAUCUUUGAACGCACAUUGCGCCCCUUGGUAUUCCGAGGGGCAUACCUGUUCGAGCGUCAUUGCUCACCUCAAGCCUGGCUUGGUCUUGGGCGUGCGUCCCGCGGGACGGGCCCGAAAAACAGUGGCGGUGCGGCCGUGACCGCGAGCGUGGUAGCUAAUCGUUCGCUCCGCGCGUGACGCCGUGCCCGCCAGCCAACCUGUGAUUUCUCACCGGUUGACCUCGGAUCAGGUAGGGAUACCCGCUGAACUUAA